rnacentral:rRNA from 1 species
CCUACGGGAGGCUGCAGUGAGGAAUAUUGGUCAAUGGGCGCGAGCCUGAACCAGCCAAGUCGCGUGAGGGAGUACUGCCCUAUGGGUUGUAAACCUCUUUUGUCGGGGAGCAAAAGCCGGACGUGUUCGGCUGUGAGAGUACCCGAAGGAAAAGCCACGGCUAACUCCGGUCCCGCCACCGACGUAAAACGGAGGAUGCGGGCGUUAUCCGGAGUUAUUGGGUUUAAAGGGAGCGUAGGUGGGUUGGUAAGGCAGGUGUGAAAGUUUGCGGCUCAACCGUAAAAUUGCAAUUGAUACUGGCAGUCUUGAGUACAGUUGAGGUAGGCGGAAUUCGUGGUGUAGCGGUGAAAUGCUUAGAUAUCACGAAGAACCCCGAUUGCGAAGGCAGCUUACUAAACUGCGACUGACAUUGAUGCUCGAAAGUGUGGGUAUCAAACAGGAUUAGAUACCCCUGUAGUC